rnacentral:rRNA from 1 species
CCUACGGGGGGCUGCAGUGGGGAAUAUUGCGCAAUGGGCGAAAGCCUGAAGCAGCGACGCCGCGUGAGGGAUGAAGGUCUUCGGAGCGGAAACCUCUGUCAGUAGGGAAGAACGGUCACUGUGCUAAUCAGCAGUGAAUUGACGGUACCUGCAAAGGAAGCACCGGCAAACUCCGUGCCAGCAGCCGCGGUAAUACGGAGGGUGCGAGCGUUACUCGGAUUUAUUGGGUUUAAGGGGUGCGUAGGCGGUUUUUUAAGUUCGGGGUUAAACGUCGGGGCUUCACCUUGAUUUGCCAUUAAUACUGUAAGCCUCGAGUUCAGACGAGGUAGGCGGAAUGAGUUGCGUAGCGGUGAAAUGCUUAGAUAUAACUUAGAACUCCGAUCGCGAAGGCAGCUUACCAGACUGCGACUGACGCUGAGGCACGAAAGCGUGGGUAGCGAACAGGAUUAGAUACCCUAGUAGUC